rnacentral:rRNA from 1 species
CCUACGGGAGGCAGCAGUGAGGAAUAUUGGUCAAUGGCCGGAAGGCUGAACCAGCCAUGCCGCGUGAAGGUCAGUGCCCUAUGGGCGUUAAACUUCUUUUGUGCGGGAGCAAUAAUGGUCACGUGUGGCCAGACGAGAGUACCGUACGAAUAAGCAUAGGCUAACUCCGUGCCCGCAGCCGCGGUAAUACGGGGGAUGCAAGCGUUAUCCGGAUUUUUGGGGUUUAAAGGGUGCGUAGGCGGUCGGAUAAGUUAGAGGUGAAAUACCGAGGCUCAAAUUGGGAAGUGCCUUUGAUACUGGUCAGCUAGAGUGUAGUUGCGGUAGGCGGAAUGUAAGGUGUAGCGGUGAAAUGCUUAGAUAUCAGACAGAACACCGAUUGCGAAGGCAGCUUACCAAGCUACUUCUGACGUUGAGGCACGAAAGCGUGGGGAGCAAACAGGAUUAGAUACCCUGGUAGUC